rnacentral:sRNA from 1 species
GUUUGCAUUGGAGAAAAGCGAAGGAUUGUGGUCCCCCCUCACCUGGGGUAUGGAGAGGAAGGAAGAGGGAAUAUCCCCGGCUCGGCUGUGCUGGUGUUUGACAUCCAUGUGAUCGACUUCCACAACCCUUCGGACUCCAUCAGCAUCACCUCCCACUACAAACCCCCCGACUGCUCAGUGCUGAGUAAGAAGGGAGAUUACCUCAAAUAUCACUACAAUGCCUCACUUCUGGAUGGGACCCUGCUGGACUCCACGUGGAAUUUAGGCAAAACUUACAAUAUUGUUCUGGGAUCUGGGCAAGUUGUGUUGGGGAUGGACAUGGGUCUCAGAGAGAUGUGCGUUGGCGAGAAACGGACAGUGAUCAUUCCGCCUCACCUGGGCUAUGGGGAAGCUGGCGUGGAUGGAGAAGUGCCCGGCAGUGCCGUAUUAGUGUUUGACAUUGAGCUGCUGGAGCUGGUGGCUGGCCUUCCUGAGGGGUACAUGUUCAUAUGGAAUGGUGAGGUGUCACCCAACCUCUUUGAAGAAAUUGACAAGGAUGGCAACGGAGAAGUCCUCCUGGAAGAGGUAACUAACUGGCCUCUGUAGGAAGGUGGGACCGAAGAGCUCAGGGAGCCUGGUGAGGCCGUGGGGCCGGUUCUGAAGGUGAGGCCUUC